UGGGGGAUAUUGCACAAUGGGCGAAAGCCUGAUGCAGCGACGCCGCGUGGGGGAUGAAGGCUUUCGGGUUGUAAACCUCUUUCGCUAUCGAACAAGGCCCGCUUAGGGUGGGUUGAGGGUAGGUGGAGAAGAAGCGCCGGCUAACUACGUGCCAGCAGCCGCGGUAAUACGUAGGGCGCGAGCGUUGUCCGGAAUUAUUGGGCGUAAAGGGCUUGUAGGCGGCUUGUUGCGCCUGCUGUGAAAACGCGGGGCUUAACUUCGCGCGUGCAGUGGGUACGGGCAGGAUUGAGUGUGGUAGGGGUGACUGGAAUUCCAGGUGUAGCGGUGGAAUGCGGAGAUAUCUGGAGGAACACCGAUGGCGAAGACGGGUCACUGGGCCAUUACUGACGCUGAGGAGCGAAAGCAUGGGUAGCGAACAGG
rnacentral:rRNA from 1 species